CUGUAACUCACUGGCACAGCCAUUGCUAUCAUCUAUCUUCAGAACCCUUUUCAUCUUGAAAAUUUGCCCAUUAAACAGUAUCUCCCCAUCCCCACCUCCUCAGAGCCCCCUGGAAGCUAUUGGCUAGCCCGUUGUGAAUUGACUAGUCCAUGAAUAUAAGAACAAUCACACAGUAUUUUUCCUUUGGUAACUGGCCUUUUUCACUCUGCAAACAUCCUCAGGGCUCAUUUAUGUUAUAUCAAGGGCCAGAAUUUCUUUCCCUUUUAGGCUGAAUAGCCUGCUAUAUGUAUAGCACACUUCCCUUUGCUCCUUGGUUAUUCUGAAUUACUAUGCACUGAACCUGGAUCCCUUACCACCAAUCUCUGAGGUUUAACGUAAGCUCCCAGAAGCUAGCAUGGCCAGUAAAUUCCCAGCAACCUACAGCUAGGAAGGGUCAGCCCCAGGGUCAUCAGAGUGACACUCCGAACUCUGUUCUAGUUGAAGAUGAAAAGACUCUCACAGGUAGAAGUUGCGGUGGGUGCUCAAUACACUACACCUAAUUAUGUAAGUGGUUGCUUAGUUUUAACCAACCACUGUUCCCAGUUGUGGUGAUGAUCUUAGUAAGAUAUAAAUUAUAGGGCUGGUCUCGGAUUGUUACAACACAAUAGUCUCUCCUUUAAACUGAAUGGCAAAGAUUGGUGACUGCCCCAAAAACCUAUAUCUCUUAUUCAAAUGGUGUGUAGACAAACAUUUGGGCAAGGCCAGCAUUACCUGGAGUAGUUAGAGUGGCUCUCAUAUAUCAACGUGCAGAUCCCAGGUGACGUCUAUGGUUCUCAUAACAAGCAGCAACAGAUAUUUUCUAGCUUCGAGUUAACCUCUGCGUAACACCCUUUGAGUCUUUCAGUUACUCGCCCACCUCUCCGAAUCUAUGGAAGUGCUAGCUGCCUCUUGCUUCUACGUCAUAAAUAUCUUCUUAACAGCCAGUGGUGGCACAUGCCUUUAAUCCCCAGAACUCAGGAGGCAGAAACAGGACAGAUGGAUCUCUUUGAGAUUAAGGCCACCCUGGUCUACAGAGUGAGUUCCAAGACAGCCAGAGCUACACAAUGAAACCCUGUUGAGAAACCUAGACAGACAGACAGACAGAGAGAUAAUAAAUUGAUGAUAAGGAGAGACAGAGAUAGACAGAUAGACAGAUGCUUUAAAAAGAGUGUCAGGAUGCUGCCUGUGACUGAAAGGGGCUGCUCCUUACUAAAAGUUCUCCCUUCCUUUAAAAAAAAAUCAUUUUUAGUCAGGGCUCUCCUGUCAAGGCUUAUUACAGACUCUUAAGACCAGGUCUAGUGACAGAGCUGGACCACUGUUCCCUCAGGAUCCAAUCCUGGGCAUUCACAGUGUGCCUUCCUCUUUCAGGAAGCUCCUGCACCCACAGGGCAGAGCCUAUUUCCCUAAAACAUGUUAUGGGUGUUAACUGCACAGAGAGAAAACACCUUACAGACAGCUGAGCUUCAGAGCAAAGAGUCCAUCAUCUUCCACUUUAGGUCUUUGGGCCUCUUGAACUGAGGGGAUCUGAGGAACCUCUGGGGUAGAACACUUUUCAGGUGUUUAUUAAAUAGAUUUUCAAAAGUCAGCUAGCUCACUCAGACAUGUGGUCUCAGGUUUAAAAAUCACCAAGCUGCCAACCACCAAAGGCCUCCGUUUCUACAGAUGAUCAAUUGUACCAAGUAACAUCCAUAUAAUACGCAGAAUGUCCAAGGACCUUCUCAGUGUACUAAACCUACGAAGUUGUCAAUCAGGGAUAAACCCAAACGGAGAACUUCAAUAAUCCUCAGUCACAUACAAGCUGAGAGACUGCAUGGUCUAGAUUCCCACCUGCAUUCUGAACAGCAAAGAAGUUGGGCGGAUUAGCAUAAUUAACAAAAACACCAGUACUCCAAGAAAUAAAAGAGACAACCACAAGUAGUAGCCCCAAGUAGUGGGGACUAUUAGAAAAAACACUACACCAACAGCAUAGGGAAGGCACUAUAGUCAGCCAAGAUAAGGCAGGCAAGUGGGAACUGUCGCACGCACCCUUCCCCCACUCAGAAGGAAAGGCAUCCCUGAAUUCUUAAAAUAACUCUAGCUUCCUCUUGGCCAAGGCGUCGGACGACUCCUCUGCGGGCUGACAGAAGUCGAGCUACGCGGGAGGUCGAGCUCCAGCCUCUGUAGCAGCCGUUCGACGUCACCACCUUGCCUAAAGUCACCAGGGACCUCAGCUUUCAGCCAACCUUAGAGAGGGGCUGGGUUCAAACCCCCCUUCUCAUUCCUGGGGACUCAAGGUCCGACCGGGAGACUAGAUACUGGAUCCCAGGAGACUCCCACCGCGCUACCUUUCGGAGUGGACUCAGGCUUCCCUGCCAGGCAAGAAAAGCUGGAGAAGGGCAUGCGAGAGACUUGACGCCAAGGACCCAGGGGCGCCUACCCCGUGUGCACCGCCCACCACGCCUCUGCGCCGCUCCGCUGCGGACACCUGCGGAGUCGCCGCCCUCGCGUCCCCGCUCGAUCGCCCGGGCGAGUCACAGUCUCCUAAGGCUGAAGGAGUCUGGAUGCUCUCACCACCCGGGGCGAGCGCCACCAAGAAACAGUGCGCGACCUCUGCUGCGGGAGCCGUGGCUGCACCGAAACCCCGAGUCCCAAGCCAAGAAAGUGACCUGUGCUCCGGUCUAUGACCCAGCCCGGUUCCCUGCCCGGUCCACCCUAAGUACCCACCCUGCGCUCAAACCCCCGACUCACUCGCUCGUGGUGGAAGUUUCGGGGCGGCGGAACUCCACGGUGACUUCGGUUAAAAGCUGCUCACGCGACGGGAUAGCCCUGGGGGGCCCGCCUGGGAAGCAGCUGCGGGCCCGGGUCUUAGGACGCGUGGCCGGGGCUUGCGGGCACACUGCUCGAGGAACAGUGCCCGUCCUGCAGCAAGCUACUAGCUGCAGAACGUCGGCCGGGAGGCGCCCAGGCCCGGCUCGGUGGGAGAGGAACUGGCUGUC
ensembl:lincRNA